rnacentral:rRNA from 2 species
GGACAGUCUGAGAUAGCCAUGUAUGUGCCAGGUCAACGUUAUGCCUGAGACUGCGGACGGGUCACUAAAUCACUGAUAAGCUGUUUGAUUGUCUCUCCCGUUGGAUAACCGGGGGAAAUCUAGAGCUAAUACGUGCAGUUCGUUGGUGUGUCCUUCUGGGGCACACCAAAGCAUUUAUUAUACUAAACCAUCUACCACGCCUCGGCGUACUAUGGGGAAUCUGGAUAACUUUGCUGAUCGUAUGGCCUUGUGCCGGCAACGUUUCAAUUGAGUUUCUGCCCUAUCAACUUGUUGGUAAGGUAUUGGCUUACCAAGGUUGCAACGGGUAACGGGGAAUCAGGGUUCGAUUCCCGAGAGGGAGCCUGAGAAACGGCUACCACAUCCGAGGAAGGCAACAGGCGCGCAAAUUACCCAAUCUAGACAGUAGGAGGUGGUGAAGAGAAUUACUAAAUGGUGGUCUAACAGAUCACUCGCUUGGAAUGGACGUAACUUAAGAAAUUCGAUGAGAAACAACUGGAGGGCAAGUCCUGGUGCCAGCAGCCGCGGUAAUUCCAGCUCCAGUAGUUUGCUUUAAAGUUGUUGCGUUUAAAACGCUCGUAGUUGGAUCACGCAGCGGUGCCCAGUAAUCUUUUGCGUGAGGCUGUCAAUUGCGUCCGUCUCGCAACGGCCAUUCGACAGCCUCUGCGAUAGGUGUCAGUGCUGAGCAUCGCUAGUUGCACGUGAGAUAGAUUGUUGGCCUUCGAUGCGCCCAUAUUCUCGUCUCGCGAGUGUGCCUUGAAUAAAACAGAGUGCUUAAAGCAGGUCGUCGCCUGAAUGUGAUACAUGGAACGAACAAUCAUGUUUAUGUGCGCGUCUACUGACGGUAGCGAGCCUUUGGUUUGUUGUUGUCCGCGACGUGCACGGCACCCACCAAAGUACGGCUGUUGGUUCCAUAUACGGUGAUGAUUAGCAGGAGAGGUUGGGGCAUCGGUAUUUGGCGCUAUGGGUGAAAUUCUUAAAACGUCCAGGACUAACAAAAGCAAAGGCACCUGUGCCUGACCGGUUCGCCUAUAACCAGUAACAAAUACGAAGGUCUGAGAAGUGGAUGGGAUACACGUCCGACGUUCCGCGUGACACCGACCCGAAGCGGGGGCACCCUCGGGAGAAGUGUAAAAAAAAUGAGAG